AUCGAUUGUCUUUAAAUACCACUUUUAAAAAUUCUGAUUUUUUUAUUUUUUAAAUCGGAAUUAGAAAAUAAACUAAUAAAUUGAUGAAAGUUUCUAAUAAUUCUAGGCUAAUUUUUAUUUAUUUAUUUUUAUACCUAUUUUCAAUCAGGGAGAUUAUCAAGGGACGAGGCCAAUUCCAACCACGGGCUGCGCACAUUCCCCGUAGAGGGGGCUGGAUGGUGAAGGAGGGGACUCCCGAAAACUUUUCGGGAAUUACCAGACCUGGGACGCGAAUCCGGAUCCUCCCAGCUGACAUGCCGAUAUCGUUAUCACUCGGCCACCCAGCCUCCAUUCUAGGCUAAUG
rnacentral:lncRNA from 1 species